GGGGGGGGCAUUUGAGCCAUUAGCUGGAUUUCUUCUAGGGAGAGGAGAGGAGGAAGGCAGGUCCAGGCAGAGGGUACAGCCUGUGGCCGGAAAAGUCUCAGCUUUUUUUCCAAGGGGCAGCCAACUUUUGGGGGAAGAUGUACAGAAGGAGAAACAGCAGCCCAACGCCAGUGGUGCCAGCAGAAUGAUAAGAACUGAGGCUUCUCAAGCUCUUACCGCCUCCCAGCCCCACAGUGAACACUUCCUGCCAUCCUGUCACUGAAUGCCCAUCCUGACCCCAAAGUUUCUGGCGUGUAGGAGCUGCAUUAAAUGGGAAUGUCGUUGGCGCUAUUGUCUGGAGGGGUCAGUGACAACCUGGUUCGUAGAGAAGUCUGGAGCUGCAGCUUAAAGGCUUGAGAAGAUUCUAGUGGGGAGAGAAGAAGGGAAAAGAGAGGUCCAGGUCAGCUACACAGACCUUGUUAAUGCUAAGUUCACGUUCCUCAGUGGGGACCAUCAUGCAUUGCCCCAGCAUCCGGUAGAUGUCCUCUUCAGAGAAUAAAUGUGGCAGAACUAAACUGUGGGGCUUCAGAGACAUCUGGGCCGCUACGGGUUCCCACACUCUGAAACAUGCAAACUUG
rnacentral:lncRNA from 1 species